UACGUAGGGGGCAAGCGUUGUCCGGAAUCAUUGGGCGUAAAGCGCGCGUAGGCGGCCCGGUAAGUCCGCUCUGAAAGUCCAGGGCUCAACCCUGGAAAGCGGGUGGAUACUGCCGGGCUAGAAUCCGGAAGAGGCGAGUGGAAUUCCUGGUGUAGCGAUGGAAUGCGCAGAUAUCAGGAGGAACACCAAUAGCGAAGGCAGCUCGCUGGGACGGUAUUGACGCUAAGGCGCGAAAGCGUGGGGAGCAAACAGG
rnacentral:rRNA from 1 species